rnacentral:rRNA from 1 species
UUGUUUAAUCAAUUUUUUCUGAGGAAAGAACUUUAUUGUUAUAAAUAAUUAGUUGGGGUAUUAUAAAAAUAUUUUGUUUUUAUUAAUUUAUAAGAAAAAAUUGAUUUAAUGAUAGUUAAUUUGUAUUGUGAAAGACUGAUUUUUACCAUUAAAAAGAAAAAUUUAUUUUUUGUACCUUGUGUAUCAGGGUUGAUUAAAUUGUUAAUAAUUAUUUAUUUAUCUCGAAUCCAAAAGAGUUAAGGUUUUAUUUUUUAAAUGUUUCAUAAUUUUUAUUAAUAAUACCUUAGUAGCGAAAUGUUAUUCGUUUUUUGAUAUAUCUAGUUUUUUGAGAAAUAAAUUUAAUUUAUUUAUUUUUAAAAUUUUUCCUAAUUAUUGGUUUAAUUUUGAAAAUAUUUAAUUUUUUUGGGGAAAAGCUUGAGAAAAUAAUUUUAUUUAUUAUAGAAAUAUGAUUUGCAAGUAGGAUUAUAAAUUUCCUUCUUUAGAAAGAUGUUAUAGUUUUCUUAUUAUAGGUUAUUAUUUUUAUAAAUAAUGGAUUUUUUAUCAAAAUUUUGAGUCGAACUGAAUAUUUCAAGUAAAAAUGAUUGAAUUAGUAUAUUUUUAUGUAGUUUUAUAUUUUUAUACGAGGUAUAAUUAAUGAACUCGGCAAUAGAGUUUUUCACCUGUUUAUUAAAAACAUGUCCUUUUGAGUAUAAUAUAAGGUCGGGCCUGCUCAAUGAUAAUAUUAAAUAGCUGCAGUAUUUUGACUGUACUAAGGUAGCAUAAUCAUUAGUUUCUUAAUUAGAGACUGGAAUGAAGGGUUUGAUGAAAAAACGACUGUGUCUUUUAUAAGGAUAAAAUUUUAUUUUUAAGUAAAAAAGCUUAAAUGAAGUUAAAAGACGAGAAGACCCUAUAGAGUUUAAUAAUUAAUAUAUUUCUGGAAUUAAAGAUGGAAAUUUACUUUAAUUGAAAUAAUUAUUUGGUUGGGGUGACUAAAAAAUUAAACAAACUUUUGUUUAUAAAACUUUAAUUUAAGGUUUGCUUGAUCCGCCAUUUGGCGAUUAUAAGAAUAAAUUACCUUAGGGAUAACAGCGUAAUCUUUUUUUAGAGUUCUAAUCGAUAAAAAGGGUUGCGACCUCGAUGUUGGAUUAAAAUUUACUUUUAGGCGCAAAAGCUGGAUAGUUGAGUCUGUUCGACUCUUAAAAUUUUACAUGAUCUGAGUUUAAACCGGUGUGAGCCAGGUUGGUUUCUAUCUUUAAUUAAAGCGAAAACUUUAGUACGAAAGGACCAGGUUUU